GCGGACGUGGCGAAACUGGUAGACGCACCAUCUUGAGGGGGUGGCGGGGAAACCCAUGGGAGUUCAAAUCUCCCCGUCCGCACCA
rnacentral:tRNA from 1 species